rnacentral:ncRNA from 1 species
GGGUGUUUGUCUCCGGUAUGUCGGGACAGGCAGGUUUUCACGCUGGUCGGGCCGCUAGCG